AUUAGACCUUGACAAGGACACUGCUUGGUCUCGCUUUUCUUUCCCACCCAUUUAUUCUCAGGUUUAGUCCACCUUGGACCCACGAAUUACCGGAGCCCCUCGGGCCGGGGUAACUUUUAUUAUGUUGAGAACCUCUCUGUGGGAUGCUGUUCAGGAUUGAACCCUUCCAGUGUGGUGAGCAUUCCUACCAAUGAAAACAUCAGAGCUGGUGAUAAGAAAGGAAAUGAUUUUGGAGGAUGCAUAAUUAGUUUUUCCCUAGUGAUUUUUUUCCCUUUCUGCGAAAUUAGAUGGUAUCAAACUCAGUUGCUAAAAGUUCAUUUUGAUAACAGAACACUGUGUGACAUUGGGCAUAGACUCAGGAAGAGCCUAAAUAAUUAAUAACAUAGAGAUUGCUGAUGAACUGUCUUAUUUUAGCAAUUACUAAUACUCUUGUUUAGGCACAUUAAAUAACUUUAAAUAACCGGUCUCAUUUAUCUCGAGGAAGUUAUUUUAAAUAAAUUGCUUUUAUACUUAAUUAUUAUGCUUAUGAGUACAAAUAAUUUUUGUUUUGAUCACUAUUCAGUUUGUAAAGAAAUUUAACCUAGAAUAAAAAUUCCAACUCUAAAAAAUUUGUUCCUGCCAGGUGGUGGCACACCUUUAAUCCCAGCACUUGGGAGGCAGAACAGGCAGAUCUUUGUGAGUUUGAAACCAGCCUGGUUUACAGAGCGAGUUCCAGGACAGGCUC
rnacentral:lncRNA from 1 species